GAUGAGGUGGCCGAGAGGUUAAGCCGAUGGACUGCUAAUCCAUUGUGCUCUGCACGUGGGGUUCGAGUCCCACCCUCAUUC
rnacentral:tRNA from 1 species